AUGGCCGGUGAGCGCAAAGAGGCUAACGCUGGCGGGUCGUCCCUCGCCGUCACCCUCGUGGUGGUGGUGGUGGCCGCAUCAUCCAUGCCGGUGGUGAAGGGGGAUGACAAGUCUGCUUGCGUCGGCGAGUACUCCAAGCUCUGCGGCAAGAAGGACCCCGCGUGCACCGCCAUGGUCGAGACGACCUGCCACGAUGAUGCCGACAGCGUCAAGGCCAUCAAGGGCAUGUUCGACGAGCUCGCCAAGGUCGGUGGAGACGACUAUGGUUUGGCUUCUACGGCAAGGCCAUGGGGGCACGUGGCCCUCGGCGAUGCCGUCGACGAGCAUGGGGCCUGCCCCGGCAACAAGACGGUGAGUGAAUUUGCUGGCGAGCACUGCAUCCCAGACAUCGACGCGGCAUGCAAGGAUCCCAGCUGCAGCGACGGUGCUUACAUCGAAUGCGGCAGUGCGGCGUCGAGAUUCUGCUACAUCAAGGCCACCCCCGCCAACAAGAAAGCCAUACAGCAAAACUUGGAUUGCUUCAAGAGCUGUUGCGCGCAGAAGAAGAGUGAAGACUGCCGUAAUGAAUGCAUCCUCAACAAGAGUAGUCCGGCCGCUUGA
rnacentral:rRNA from 1 species